rnacentral:lncRNA from 1 species
ACAGCACAUCAGCCGCUAUGCGGUCGAAAUCGUCAGUCGACCAGCCAUCGGCGAAGCGUCACACAAAUUAACACCGCUUGAGCCAUUUAGCUAUAAUUCGUUAGAAAUGGCAUAGUAGCGGUUAGUUUCAGUUUACUUUGUCGGAGUAACUUCGUGGCUCAGAAGCUCUAAGGGCAAGAAGAAAAACACCAGCGACAUCCACGACGAUCGAAGCUCAUCGCAGUGAGGAACGCCCAAGCGAAAAAAGAGAACGCCACGAGACGAAACGAUGACAAAACGGGGUCUGCUGGCCUUCUCUACAGCCUGCGGCGUCGGGAGCGGCAUUUGACUACGCCAGCCGCUGUCACGCAAGUGUGGACUACUGUUGUAAUAAUCGCCAUGACUACAGCGUCCAUAACGUCAGACGUUAUCAUCAUCACGACAGUCGUCACCGUAGCUGCUGUUGCCGUUGAUGAUGAUAUCGUAUAGUCGCCUCCCAACUAAUUCGUGACGGCUCGUCCAUGAUUAGCCUCGCUAUUUACGCUAUUUCGAUUCACAGGCACACAGACAUGUGCAUCCUCUUUUAUCCACGAACUACUCCUAUCUACAAAAUGGAACUGAGGCUGCUCUUAUUACAUGUUACCGACUGUGCGUAUGGUACAAAGUAAUAUACAGAUGUGUGUGUACGUGCGUAGUGAUGCUGCCGGUGCCUUGCCAACUGAGCAGUCGUUCGUCCAACAAGAAGUUUUUCAUCCGUCAUUAUAGUGCCAUCGUGCCAGUCAGGCAGACACAGGUCAUAUACACAACCUAGUUGUAUACAAUGCACACGUUGUUCACUUACGCAGAACACGGUGAACGAACUGACGCUUUCGGUGUCAUCGGUUCCACAGUCGCACGGCAGCCAUCUUCGUCGUUCUUCUUUGUGGCCCUAUCCGCUUGAAGAAAGCCUUCGACGCGCGAGACAAAAUGGCAGAUGCACGGACGGACACCGAAGGAAUGACCGCGCAUGCUAGCCAUCGCAUACUGACAAAUUCAUCAUCACGGCCGUCAUCACCAUCAUUAGGCGUAUAAGAUCAUUGCCAAGAGCUGUAUCAUCAACAGCAACUGCAGUUCUAAUGUGAAGGAAAUCGUAACCGUGGAGAAAGCGCAAUGAUUAAUUCAACCGAUGGCUGAGUGGUCUGAGCCGUUAUUGGCGUUGUUGUCGAUGCAUUACCCCAUGGACCAGGCCAACAUUAAAAGUUAUUUUGUGGAAUAUAUGUGUGAUCGAACUAAUGUUUACUAAGAAGUAGCGAAAUGGGUCAUGAAUAGAUGGGACAAUACCUGUCAGAUCGAUGUCCUUGUAUGGUACAUUUACAGUGUGAGGUCAUUGCCAGGGGAAUAUAAAAAGGGAAACGUGAAGCGGUCUUCGUGUCAACUGUUAAUAAUGACUACGACCGUUAGACUAACAUUCCACCCCGUGCUCAAUAGUAUUGCAUUGCUACAUAUCAUAUGUUCUAGUCUACGUAUCUGAUUUAUUACUUCGAGUAAUAUCAUGUUGUUACUAUAUACGUGUAUUUAUGAUGCGAUUAGUGGUGACUAUAAAAGGAUUUAUUUAAAUAGAUCUGCUUCGAAAAGCUGGCAAAUCUCAUAGCGAAUGAAGUACGUGAUUUUGCAGGUUGCCUCUAUUCUAUUUAUUGCAAUAGCAAUGAAAUGAAACAUUUGUGAUAAUAAGAUUUGGCUUGAGCCAACAAAAUGUUGACACAGAAAUACUCUUUGUUAAAAAGGGGCAAUAGACAUCGGGGAGUUUUUAUCAGUAACAUAACUUUGUAGGCAGCACAUCUAGGAUAUAUAUGUGUUGCGACUUCGAGCUUCGCAACUAUUAUAUAACACUCACAGGCAGCUUGAACACUUGAAAUAAUUUGAAUAUUCAGUAAAAGUGUAACGCUUUCAACGAUGCAUAUGCAAAACGACGACAAAAGUAAGCGCUUUACUAUACCUUCCAGUUAGGCUACGAUCUGGCGGCUCGCAUCCUCGGUGCCUGCAUAGGUAACCAGGCGAAUUCUGCUGAGGCGGAGUCAAGGUCAACCUAACUUGACCUGUAAAGCGGCACUGAGUUCCCGAGAUUUCAGAAUUAAGUCUGUAUCAGUUUCCAUGAGUUUGCAUAAUAUCUGGCUAGCUAAAUUUCUGUGGCCCACAGUACCUCGAUGACACGUAACGCGGCUUACGUGUCAUCGAGGUACUAACAAAGGGAACGAGUCGCGUUUAGCCCGAGCAUAUUCAUACGACUAAGCAAAAUGUUUUUUACCCCUGUCUUAAGUGCAUUAAGCCCAUUCAGAUUUAGACAGCAAUGAUCGUAAGCACCGAUGGUAACAAUAACAUACAGAGCACUUCUUUAUAUGUAAAAAACCAUUGUAUACAAGCGAUUUAUUAUAAUUUCUGUAAAAGGAGGCAUGCAGCCGUCAAUAAAUGGGGUAGUCAAAAAGUCUUCUGUGCAAUGUUUCCCAUCGACUACAUUACAAAUGAGGGUAAACUGAUCUUUUUUGCGUCGUCAUCUCAACUGUAAUCGAGAAUUUGUAACAAAUUUAAGCGUAAAAGUUAUCCUCUACAAAGUUUUUUUUUUCAUUUUCUGCCGUCAUGGGGCCGACUAUCAUGUUGCUUGCAAAAGCACGUUCGAAAUUAAUGUCGAUGUCUUUCAUUGUUGCCUGCUUGACUUCUCAGAGCUUCAGAUCUACAUGGAACUGUGAAGCCUAGCAUCGGUUCCAUCUUGAGAUAGUGAAGUAACUAUAAAAGGUAACUCGUUAACGGUAGCGCAGCAAAUUCUUAAUUGCAACAGUAGUACGAUACAAUUGACACGGGACUAUGGGUCAACUAAAACAUUAGAUUAGAACACCAUAGUAGAAUAUUUACCCAAUAUCUAAAUUGGAGUGACUACGUAACUGAAUGAAGCUAACGAGGUUAUCAGCUAGGAUAUUUAACACAGAGCAAUGGAAUGAAUUUGAAACGUAGUGAAUCGGCUAGCUGACAGAAAAAAAAACACAAAAAAUCAACAAUUAUAUAUGCGGCAGGAUUCCAUGUUUGUCAGUUGAAAAGGCAGCUAUCAAGUAUCAAUAUAAUGAUAUUAUUAAUGGCGGCAUUUGCCGGAUAAUGAGCUUGCAAUGCUGUACGAUGUAGUAUAUUUUAUCGAUUGCUCCAAUCAAACACGACGAGCUAAAUAUAUGUUAAUGUAGACGUUAAACACAUUCAGCAAUUCGUCUUCAAAUAAUACUAACAUCACAAAUAUAAACUAAAAGAAACGAGACCAACACAUUAUCGUCGAUAACCCAGCAACGACUAAGAUGUUCCGACAAGGAUUGAAACAGGCCUAAAACAUAGUGAUAGUUAGUGAGCUGAGCUGAAACGAAAGCAAAAUUCAACCAGUCCACGUUUCGAUACAUCUACGUGAUGUCCACCAGGAUACGGGAUGAAAAACUGGGCAAUCUUCGUUCGAAAACCCAUGGAUUCGUUGAUUAUAUGAUCGAAAGUAUAAAGAAUCGUCUUAUAUCGUUUUAUUGCUCCUUUUUUCAUGCUUGUCUUUUACGAUUUAUACGAAAGUUCAAUUCAGCAGGUUUUCAGUAUACCCCUAACGAUAGUUGGAUCUCUUUGAAGAAGCCAACCUAAAUCGGAUGUAAAAAGCCCAUUCACUUAAUUACUGAUUGUUAGCAAAGUGUUCGAAAGAUAAUUGUCAUUACUUCUUGUAUAGCCUUGGAGGUUCGAAAACUGACUGGCACUUGCGUUCAGCGAUCUUGUUCGCAGCGCACAGUCCCUAUGUCCAUCUUGUUUUACCAUAGCACCGAUGCAAUAGAUCUGUUACCGUGGCUAUCGCUUUGCUGUGGCCGCUACCGCUCUACGAGAACUCAAAAAAUAACCACUCAUGAUAGCACUAUAUAGUAAAUAAGUAACGUAAUCGGUCUCUGUCGUCUUGCUUGUGCCCAUCAUCGCCAUCGCCCUACUGAUAUAUGUAUAUAUAUAUAUAUCACCACGACCAGCAUCGAUAACAAAGGACGUCGGUAGCAUCUAAUCAGCGCAUUGCGUCUGCUCGAACUCGUUGCUUCAGGAGAACAAGCUACUGCAAAGGUUAAUGACUGGGCGGUGGUCACAGAUAACGUCAAGUGUCAUCAGAUCGUAGCCGGCGCACUCGUAACUGAAAAAUCUCAGCUGGAACUGUCGUCCUUAUCUACCUAAUGUUCUACCUACCUAGCUAAUUAAUAAUAGAACUACCGUUUGACAUUGCAUUUUUGAGAGUUACCGCAGAAUGUCGACGAUCGAGUUAUUGCGGACAUGGCGACACAGCGAGGUGAAAACGUUCACGCCACGAUAUGGGACCCAGUACUUGCGAAUAGGAUGGCCCAAUAAUUAAGGCAACAACAGAAGGUAACAAUGCAAAAUGAGCUCAUAGAUCGAUAUCUAGCAAAAAACAAUUAUGAGAUCCAUAUUUGCCAAUCUGAGUCAUUGCUCGUGCUGCAGUCAACUUGCAACGCUAGAAGAUGCCGUAAGAGCUCAGUGUUCGCGCAACAUUUCCAACCGAUUUAGUGAGACCGUGAAAAAGAUUAGCGGCCACAUACUGACUCGCUUCACGUAUAUAUAUUUAUCAAACAUUGCGCCCCGUAGAUGCACAUCUAAGUCGACAUAGGGAAAACUAUUUAUUUGGAUAUAAAUAAAUAUAUUUUUAAUAAAUAUGAUACAUUACCGGAAAUAGGGUGUUCUCCCAUUUGUCAUGGCAAAUGUAUUAUUUGGACGACGUCACCUCUGCUACGAGAAGUAUAGAUGGAUUCUAUUUGAACAUUACCGAAAAGCUAUGUAUGAUCUACGGACGUGUUGCAGCCUUUUCGGAAAACCCGUGUCGUAAUUUACGCGUCCGUCAUGAAACCAAAUGAAGCGUCCAUACAAAUAAUAAUAAUAAUAACGGUAAUACUGAGUUGUGUAAGCAUUCUUGUGUCACUUUAGAUAUACUUUUGAAUACCCAUUGGGCUAAGUAUAGAUAUUUGCUUUUCUUCAGGAUCUGAUUUAUCACUUAUCCAUUCUGACCAGUUAUCGACAACAAUCGAAUCUCUAUUUGUUAUUUAUAAGAUAUACUGGAUAUAUAUGCCUUACUUGCAAAGCUUAUCAAUGUAUACAUCAGUCUCAUAUAUCUCAGGCUCUAUUCCUGCAUCUUUAUACCCUAAAUGUGUCAAUUAUAUUACUAAUUACUCUAAUUACUGAUUCAUGUGUCGCCAUUUUGCUCAAACUUUAUCAUGGCAAAGUCAAUGGCGCGAUGUUCUUCUGCUUACAUGCUGCAUCUGAACAUAAAGACGUCCUAUGAAAAGGCUGACAAACAGAUUAUUUUCAACUCUUGAUUUCCUAUAGGCGUCUCUGCUGGUUACA